AUUGAACGCUGGCGGCAGGCCUAACACAUGCAAGUCGAACGGUAACAGGAAGAAGCUUGCUUCUUUGCUGACGAGUGGCGGACGGGUGAGUUAUGUCUGGGAAACUGCCUGAUGGAGGGGGAUAACUACUGGAAACGGUAGCUAAUACCGCAUAACGUCGCAAGACCAAAGAGGGGGACCUUCGGGCCUCUUGCCAUCGGAUGUGCCCAGAUGGGAUUAGCUAGUAGGUGGGGUAACGGCUCACCUAGGCGACGAUCCCUAGCUGGUCUGAGAGGAUGACCAGCCACACUGGAACUGAGACACGGUCCAGACUCCUACGGGAGGCAGCAGUGGGGAAUAUUCCACAAUGGGCGCAAGCCUGAUGCAGCCAUGCCGCGUGUAUGAAGAAGGCCUUCGGGUUGUAAAGUACUUUCAGCGGGGAGGAAGGGAGUAAAGUUAAUACCUUUGCUCAUUGACGUUACCCGCAGAAGAAGCACCGGCUAACUCCGUG
rnacentral:rRNA from 1 species